CCUACGGGUGGCAGCAGUGGGGGAUAUUGCACAAUGGGGGAAACCCUGAUGCAGCGACGCCGCGUGAGUGAAGAAGUAUUUCGGUAUGUAAAGCUCUAUCAGCAGGGAAGAAAAUGACAGUACCUGACCAAGAAGCCCCUGCUAACUACGUGCCAGCAGCCGCGGUAAUACGUAGGGGGCAAGCUUUAUCCGGAGUUACGGGGGGUAAAGGGAGCGUAGACGGUUAUGUAAGUCUGACGUGAAAGCCCGGUGUCCAACCCCGGGACGGCUUUGGAAACUGUGUGACUUGAGUACAGGAGGGGCAGGCGGAAUUCCUGGUGGAGCGGUGAAAUGCGUAGAUAUCAGGAGGAACACCGGCGGCGAAGGCGGCCUGCUGGACUGAAACUGACGUUGAGGCUCGAAAGCGUGGGGAGCAAACAGGAGUAGAUACCCUGGUAGUC
rnacentral:rRNA from 1 species